AAUAAAGUGCCUGAUAAAAGGAUUAUUCUGAUAGAAUAAAAAAUGUAAUUUAAUUAAUUUACCUUUAUUA
rnacentral:tRNA from 1 species